AAGACUAUAGACCUGCGGAGUACCUGCGGAAGGAUCAUUACCGAGUUAGGGUCUUUUGGCCCGACCUCCAACCCUUUGUUUAUUAUACCAUGUUGCUUUGGUGGGCCUGCCUUUCGGGGCUGCCGGGGGCAUCACUGCCCCUGACUCGUGCCUGCCAGGAGCCUUCUUAAAUUCAGUGUUCAACGGUGCUGUCUGAGUCCCAGUAUCAAAAUAUCAAAAACUUUCAACAAUGGAUCUCUA
rnacentral:misc_RNA from 1 species